rnacentral:miRNA from 1 species
UUUAUACGUCGAAUUUUGGUCGCGUCGAAUGCAAUUAAGACAAUAGAUAAUGAGAUGAUAUACCUCAUUAAGCUUCAUUAUCUAUUGUUUGAAUUGCAUUCGACGCGACCGAAAUUUGACGUAUAAA